rnacentral:rRNA from 1 species
GUUGUGAGGUUAAGCGACCAAGCGUACACGGUGGAUGCCCUGGCAGUCAGAGGCGAUGAAGGACGUGCUAAUCUGCGAAAAGCGUCGGUAAGGUGAUAUGAACCGUUAUAACCGACGAUGUCCGAAUGGGGAAACCCAGUGCAACUCGUUGCACUAUCGUUAACUGAAUACAUAGGUUAACGAGGCGAACCGGGGGAACUGAAACAUCUAAGUACCCCGAGGAAAAGAAAUCAACCGAGAUUCCCCCAGUAGCGGCGAGCGAACGGGGAGCAGCCCAGAGUCUGAAUCAGCAUGUGUGUUAGUGGAACGGUCUGGAAAGUCCGGCGGUACAGGGUGAUAGUCCCGUACACGAAAGCGCAUAUGCUGUGAACUCGAUGAGUAGGGCGGGACACGUGACAUCCUGUCUGAAUACGGGGGGACCAUCCUCCAAGGCUAAAUACUCCUGACUGACCGAUAGUGAACCAGUACCGUGAGGGAAAGGCGAAAAGAACCCCGGCGAGGGGAGUGAAAAAGAACCUGAAACCGUGUACGUACAAGCAGUGGGAGCACCUUUUGGGUGUGACUGCGUACCUUUUGUAUAAUGGGUCAGCGACUUAUAUUCUGUAGCAAGGUUAACCGUAUAGGGGAGCCGCAGGGAAACCGAGUCUUAACUGGGCGUUAAGUUGCAGGGUAUAGACCCGAAACCCGGUGAUCUAGCCAUGGGCAGGUUGAAGGUUGGGUAACACUAACUGGAGGACCGAACCGACUAAUGUUGAAAAAUUAGCGGAUGACCUGUGGCUGGGGGUGAAAGGCCAAUCAAACCGGGAGAUAGCUGGUUCUCCCCGAAAGCUAUUUAGGUAGCGCCUCGUGAAUUCAUCUGUGGGGGUAGAGCACUGUUUCGGCUAGGGGGCCAUCCCGGCUUACCAACCCGAUGCAAACUACGAAUACCACAGAAUGUUAUCACGGGAGACACACGGCGGGUGCUAACGUCCGUCGUGAAGAGGGAAACAACCCAGACCGCCAGCUAAGGUCCCAAAGUCAUGGUUAAGUGGGAAACGAUGUGGGAAGGCCCAGACAGCCAGGAUGUUGGCUUAGAAGCAGCCAUCAUUUAAAGAAAGCGUAAUAGCUCACUGGUCGAGUCGGCCUGCGCGGAAGAUGUAACGGGGCUAAACCAUGCACCGAAGCUGCGGCAGCGACACUAUGUGUUGUUGGGUAGGGGAGCGUUCUGUAAGCCGUUGAAGGUGGACUGUGAGGUCUGCUGGAGGUAUCAGAAGUGCGAAUGCUGACAUAAGUAACGAUAAAGCGGGUGAAAAGCCCGCUCGCCGGAAGACCAAGGGUUCCUGUCCAACGUUAAUCGGGGCAGGGUGAGUCGACCCCUAAGGCGAGGCCGAAAGGCGUAGUCGAUGGGAAACAGGUUAAUAUUCCUGUACUUGGUGUUACUGCGAAGGGGGGACGGAGAAGGCUAUGUCGGCCGGGCGACGGUUGUCCCGGUUUAAGCGUGUAGGUGGGUGUUCCAGGUAAAUCCGGAACGCUGUUAACACUGAGGCGUGAUGACGAGGCACUACGGUGCUGAAGUGACAAAUGCCCUGCUUCCAGGAAAAGCCUCUAAGCAUCAGGUAACACGAAAUCGUACCCCAAACCGACACAGGUGGUCAGGUAGAGAAUACCAAGGCGCUUGAGAGAACUCGGGUGAAGGAACUAGGCAAAAUGGUGCCGUAACUUCGGGAGAAGGCACGCUGGCAU